rnacentral:rRNA from 1 species
CCUACGGGAGGCAGCAGUGAGGAAUAUUGGUCAAUGGGCGCGAGCCUGAACCAGCCAAGUAGCGUGAAGGAUGACUGCCCUACGGGUUGUAAACUUCUUUUAUCAAGGAAUAAAGUGAGGCACGUGUGCCUUUUUGUAUGUAAUUUAUGAAUAAGGCUCGGCUAACUCCGUGCCAGCAGCCGCGGUAAUACGGAGGAUCCGAGCGUUAUCCGGAUUUUUUGGGGUUAAAGGGAGCGGAGAUGGGUUGUUAAGUCAGUUGUGAAAGUUUGCGGCUCAACCGUAAAAGUGCAAUUGAUACUGGCAGCCUUGAGUACAGUUGAGGUAGGCGGAAUGCGUGGUGUAGCGGUGAAAUGCAUAGAUAUCACGAAGAACUCCGAUUGCGAAGGCAGCUUACUAAACUGCCACUGACAUUGAUGCUCGAAAGUGUGGGUAUCAAACAGGAUUAGAUACCCGAGUAGUC